UGUAUGAGGUGAGCGCACUCCACUAAUUGAAACCUUGCUUAUAAGUGCACUUGAAACCUCAUUCAAAGCACACUCUUUUUUCUUUUUCUUUUUCUUUUUUAUUUAUUUGUUUAUAAAUCACGAUAGCUCUUGUAAGUCACAAUAGGCAGGUCCAAUAUUCAGCAAGAACUUUGGUGUGUACCUAUUUUCAUAGAGUUCUCUGAUUUAGUUUUUUCUUUGUUUCAUAUUCAGAAUUGUAUUUGUUUUGUAUUGUGAAUCACAUCAUAUACCUUUCUUGCAGCUCUGCCAAUGAAACACUAAGCACUUUGAAUUUUGAUAAUUUAUGAAAUUUAUGGGGAAAUUUUCACGAAGUUUGAAGGAAUUUUGAAACUUUGCUUUGAUACCUAUGUUUGCAGUUUCUCCAAAAUUAUGGCAUUAAUAUCUGCACAAGGGAGCAGAAAUUUGAACUAACCUGAUUAAGGCAAAUCAAAGCUGAAAUUUGAGAUGAGGUCAUACCAAGAAAUGGUUGUGAGAUCAAAAGUCCAACAUGAAGAAAUCAAGGAAGAGGUAUCCAUAUGGUCAUGAGGAACUUGCUGUUUGUGAGGACAUUGGUCAGGUAAUUUUCUAUGCUUAAGCAAGUUUCUUUCCCUUCUUCACACUACUGUCUAGGAAACCGUAGGUGUUUUGCCACAUUGGAGAGCUGCAAUGGAAUCAUAUUAUGAGAAGAUCCUGUAAGUUUCAACAUUUCUCGAUGUGUAUUGGACUAUUGAUGCGCUUAACUUGUAAAGAGUGGGAUCAAUGAUUUAUGCUACUUUUCUAGAUCUAACUUUUUAGAUUUUUGAGAAAAAAUGGUUUUUCUUUGUUUGUUUGUUUCUGUGUAAUACUAAUAACAAUUCAAGGGGAUUGCAGAUUAUGGCAAUAAUGGAUUUCUCUCUCUU